UACAGAGGGUGCAAGCGUUAAUCGGAAUUACUGGGCGUAAAGCGUGUGUAGGCGGCUUCGUAAGUCGGAUGUGAAAGCCCCGGGCUCAACCCGGGAAGUGCACUCGAUACUGCGAAGCUUGAGUACUGGAGAGGUUGGUGGAAUUCUCGGUGUAGAGGUGAAAUUCGUAGAUAUCGAGAGGAACACCGGUGGCGAAGGCGGCCAACUGGACAGAUACUGACGCUGAGACACGAAAGCGUGGGGGAGCAAACAGG
rnacentral:rRNA from 1 species